GCAGCACGAUGGUCUGGUCCUCGGCGGCGGCGCUGUAGGUGCCGCCGGUGAAGGCGCCGGUGGUGCUGACAUGGAUCGUGGUCGUGGUGCCGCU
rnacentral:tRNA from 2 species